CAAAAAAAUGACCUUGUAUGGCGGUCUUUAGAUGGCGGAUAUCCGCCAUCUACUCUUUUAGUCCGUCGAGGAAAGGUUUGGGCUAGACGGCGGUUUAAAUUUAUUUUCGAUGACGGAAAUCCGCCAUCUAAAAAGUCCCGUCCAAAAUUUCGAAAUCCACUCCAAAAGUAACCCGAUUACUCGAUUAAAUUGACUUAACAUGGUGGACAUCCGCCAUGUUAAGUAUUUGGGGAGUCAGGCGGAAAAAGCCUGCCCAAAUUUCGAUUGGGCGGACUUUCACUUAAGUUCCGACGGAACUUAAGUGUACUUACAUGGCGAAAAUCCGACAUGUGAGUUUUGGGGUUUAUUAAAAAUCCCAAAUCCAGACAAAACGCGUCUGUUCUAAUUUCUCAACAUUGCUGCCGCCUGGCGACUCCUGCCCCCCCGCCGUCGAGCUCCGUUUUCGCCAUGUGUCCGCCUCCGUCACCCGCUGACUUGCCGUUCCCAGCAGGUUCCGUCGCCGCCGCCGCUCCCCGGAUAGUCGCCGCAUCCUCGCCGGUCAUCUGUGAAGGUAUGUGAUGGGUUAUUUUCUAUUUUUUGAUUAUCUAUUAUUGCAUUUGAUUUUUAUCUAUCCAUCUCUUGUAAAUGUGUUUUGUUCUUGAUCUUAAUCUCACUACAAGAAAACAGACAUAUAGAGACGGAUUUAGUGACGGCUUAGAGACGGCUUAGAGACAUAUCCAUCCUGGCCGUUUCUAAAUCUGAAGAAGCAUUUCGUGGAAAUUUCACGAUGCUAGCGACGGCUUAGAGACGGCUUGCUCUCCGGUGAACCGUCGCUAAUUCUGAUUUUCCGUUAAUGAUUGACGACGGCUCUCCGGUGAACCGUCGCCACCCUUUAAAAUUAGAGACGGCUUUUUAGUUAGCCGUCUAUAAAUAUUUCGAAGUUUGUUUUGGAAAAUAUUUAGGGACAGUUUCAUAAAUAGCCGUCUCAAAACCUGAUCAUUAGGGAAAGUCUCAUUUAGAAG
rnacentral:lncRNA from 1 species